rnacentral:rRNA from 1 species
UGGGGGAUAUUGCACAAUGGGCGAAAGCCUGAUGCAGCGACGCCGCGUGGGGGAUGAAGGCCUUCGGGUUGUAAACUUCUUUUGCUCUGAACAAGGCGCACCAUGGGGUGUGUUGAGUGUAGGGGUUGAUUAGCGCCGGCUAACUACGGGCCAGCAGCCGCGGUAAUACGUAGGGAGCGAGCGUUGUCCGGAAUUAUUGGGCGUAAAGGGCUUGUAGGUGGCUGGUUGCGUCUGUCGUGAAAGCUCAUGGCUUAACUGUGGGUUUGCGGUGGGUACGGGCUGGCUUGAGUGCAGUAGGGGAGGCUGGAAUUCCUGGUGUAGCGGUGGAAUGCGCAGAUAUCAGGAGGAAUACCGGUGGCGAAGGCGGGUCUCUGGGCUGUUACUGACACUGAGGAGCGAAAGCAUGGGGAGCGAACAGG